rnacentral:rRNA from 1 species
GAUGAACGCUAGCGGCAGGCUUAAUACAUGCAAGUCAAGGGGGCUUGGUAGCAAUACCAGGUAACCGGCGAACGGGUGCGUAACACGUGAGCGACCUGCCGAUCAGAGGGGGAUAGCCGGCCCAACGGCCGGGUAAUACCGCAUACGCUCGUUGAGCUACCUGGCUUGGCGAGGAAACUUCUGGGGCUGAUCGAGGGGCUCGCGGCCUAUCAGCUAGUUGGUGGGGUAAUGGCCUACCAAGGCGACGACGGGUAGCUGGUCUGAGAGGAUGGCCAGCCACAUUGGGACUGAGAAACGGCCCAGACUCCUACGGGAGGCAGCAGUGGGGAAUAUUGCGCAAUGGCCGCAAGGCUGACGCAGCGACGCCGCGUGGGGAUGAAGCAUUUCGGUGUGUAAACCCCUGUUGCCCGGGACGAUAGCUGGUUUUGGCCAGUCUGACGGGUACCGGGUGAGGAAGCACCGGCUAACUCCGUGCCAGCAGCCG